GGGGCGGCCGCCAGCUCCUCCCGCAGGGCUCCGGGCCGCCCCUCGCCCCAGGGUCGCCCGCUCCUAGUGUGGCCCAGGCUUCCCGGCCUGCCCCUCCCAGCCCUAGGAAGACGUCCCCCGGACCCCCUCAGCCCUCCGCCUCCCCUUCUCUCCCUUUCUCCCCGCUCCUGGCAGGCUGCAGCCGUCUCCUCCCGGUGCUCGCUCCUUCCUUGAGCUCUGUCCCCCGCUGCCCACUGGGGGCUAGAGCUUCCCGGCUACCCUGGAAGCUGGAGGCUGGGACCAGCUCUUCAGGUGACAGGCCUCUGUGUCUCCACAGUGGCCAGAUGGGAGCCUGCCUGACUGAUGAGCAAGGCUCCAGUUUGUCACCAAGGCAGAGAAGGGGCCCGGGGUCUUCUCUGGCCCAGCCUUUGACUGAAGCUGGUCUGGAGACAGGAGAGUUAGAGAAGUGACUCAUAGAUGGCCUAAAGAAGCGGGGCCACUCAAGGACUCAGGACAGAGGGCCAAUCCAGCUGGACCGCAGGCAAACCCCAUGGCCUUUGAGAGAAGAGAGAAGAGGACCCGGUGAAGUAGGCUCCGAGGGCCUCAGCCCAGCAGGAGUGCAGGGAGCUGCACCAGGAACUCACAGAGGAUCAGGGAGAAUUCUGAGAACAUGCUACUGUGGUGCUGCCUAGAGAGGAAGGAUAAAUGAUGACAAGUACAUCUCUGAGUAACGUAUGGGCACUUGUUCAUGAAAACUGUUUUUCUGAAAGCUUGUGAAGGUCUUCAAAUACUCGCUAUCAGUUGAGGACAAACAUUUACACCCUCCUUCCACAGGGAGUUCAAGCAGGCUGGAUGGGUCCAUCUAUGGAUGAUCUUCCCCAGCCCCUUCCUCUUCCCAGCUCAUCCCUGGCUCUCUGUAUGAACAGUUCUCAUCAGUGGAAUGUGGUUGAUGAAGUGAGGUCUUCAAUUUUCUCAUCUACUGUGUGGUCAUGUUAUUUUCCUCAUCUGAGGCUUAAAAACUCACCUGCAUGCAGCACAUGACAGCUUAAAAUCUCUUGUGAACAAAACAGUAACAAAGACACCCACCAGGGUUGAGCAUCCCGUGUUGAUGACAGCGACCACCAGGGGUCAAUGUCCUCUUCACAAUCCUGUGUCAGAGCAUCACUUGACUGAUUUCAUUAGCAACUUCCCAGGAGAAUCAGCUUACAAAAUACUUGUCCCAUUUUCCAUGCAGAUGUAACCCAUCUAUUUUACUGAAGAAAUGGGAAGAGCUGAAUGCUGAAUACACUGAAUGUCUGCAGGUUGUGCAAGUUUGUGACUUUAUCACCUUCUAAUUUCUGAUCUGUGUGAACCACUCUACAGAUUUUUCUCACUGGUGUGAGAAAAAUCAGCCCUCUGGAUGUCAAAUAUAAUAGACUUUCAAUAAUAUAAAAGUCAACACAAGCUCCUCA